rnacentral:lncRNA from 1 species
AUGAGGAAGAGGUUUUUCAUGUGAUCUUUUCUUCUUUCCUCUCUUCCUCUUUUUCUCAACCUUCUCCUUCCUUAACCUUCUCUUUUUCUUUUUCUUUUCUUUCUUUAUUUUCACAUUUUUUUUCUUUUGUUCUUUUCUUUCAACCACUGCUUUUCCUUUCUCAUCCUUCUUCUCACUCUCAUUCAACUUUUCUGUUUCUAUCUCCUCUAUCAUUUUCGCAGCAACAACUCUUUCUGUUUUUGUUUCUUCUUCAUACAUCUCUAGCUCUUCUUCUUCUAUUUUUUCCUCCUUGACAACAUUAUCAUUUGUAAAGAUGGUGGCUUGACAUUCUUCUUUAGGGUUAACUUUAGUAUUAACCCUAAUAAUGCCCAGAGACUUCAAGACCUUUGUUAUCUCAUCUUCCUCUAUCUUCUCUUCAUCAAUAAUUCUGUCAUCCUCAAAGAUAGGAGCUUGACAUUCUUCCUUAGGGUUAACUUCAGUAUUAACCCUAAUAAUAUCCAGAGACUUCAACGCACGAGAGUGUUGUUCCUACAAUAAACGUUCUUUAGCUUCCCC